GCCAGACUCCUACGGGAGGCAGCAGUGGGGAAUAUUGCACAAUGGGGGAAACCCUGAUGCAGCGACGCCGCGUGAGUGAAGAAGUAUUUCGGUAUGUAAAGCUCUAUCAGCAGGGAAGAAAUAGCGACCUUUGGGUCGCCAGACGGUACCUGACUAAGAAGCCCCGGCUAACUACGUGCCAGCAGCCGCGGUAAUACGUAGGGGGCAAGCGUUAUCCGGAUUUACUGGGUGUAAAGGGAGCGUAGACGGCAGCACAAGUCUGAAGUGAAAUACCGGGGCUCAACCCCGGGGCUGCAUUGGAAACUGGCAGGCUGGAGUGCCGGAGAGGCAGGCGGAAUUCCUAGUGUAGCGGUGAAAUGCGUAGAUAUUAGGAGGAACACCAGUGGCGAAGGCGGCCUGCUGGACGGUGACUGGCGCUGAGGCUCGAAAGCGUGGGGAGCAAACAGGAUUAGAUACCCUAGUAU
rnacentral:rRNA from 1 species